UGGAUCCUCACCCUGAAGGAUUUAAGUGCACCCUGCUGAAUAUGCCAAGAGGAUGUUCCUGAAGAAAUAGGCCACAGAGGCAACAUGUGACUUUCCUGGUGAAUACCCACAUUGCCCCUAGCCUUCAUUGGGACAGAAACAUUUUCCAGGAUCCUGCUGACCUGACAUCAAAGUUCUCAGAUGCUGCUCAUGGAAUUGGGUGCCUGUCAGAGAUGACAUGAGAGUAGGCCUGAGGUAGUAGGAGGAGAUCGAGCAGAGGACAGCUACUUGAUCAGGAGAGGGAAGAUGGUCUGACUUCAAGGAGACCUUGGGGUGGACAGGAGAAGCUGUGGCACCUGCUGUCUGGAUACAACCCUGACUGGAAAACAUGGCAGGAGACAAGCUACAAGAGACCCAGCACUUCAGCCUGCUCCAAAUGACUGUGUACAGCCUGCUGUGCUCCCAAGAAGGUUCUUGGGGAACUUUUGACAGAAUGCAAAGAUGCCUGAUGACAUCACCUUGAAAUGUAUCAUCUUUCCUACCGGAGAAACUUCGGCCUCCUGAUAAGGUUUCACACAGGACACUACAGGGAGCUCCAGGCCUUGACUGGAUCCUUCAGAUCUCCAGUGUGCAGACAAACCUUUCAUACUCUUCCACACCUGACUCUGUGGG